GGAGGGGAGGGGAAGGCAGUCAAGCAGCAGCGGNNNNNNNNNNNNNNGGGGCGGCGGCGGCGGCGGCGGCGGGGGAGGUUUGGGGGUCGAGCCGGUAACCUAGAGGGGGAGGUACGGGCCUCGGUUCAUCUGUCUGGGGCGUGGCCGCGUGCUUGGAGCUCCGUCCGUCGCGCCGGCCGGCCGGUGGACUACCGCAGGCACCGCCUCGAGUUCCUCUUCGUGCGCCGCCGCUGCCGGAGCCAGUUGAGGGACGCCCUCGCCGAGGCGGUCGCGGCCGUCUGCGAGGAGCUGUGGCUGCACCUCUUCAUGAGGUUCCGCGUCCCCGCCUGCCGCCACUCGAAGUUGGGGUGCCUAGACCAGACGACGGCGUGCGACGUCCCGGUGUCGCCUUUCCAUAUAAGAGACCUAACCUGGGGACUCUUCUUGACCUAUCAAUCACGGAGUGUUCUACCUUCUGAUUAACAUACCUUACGAAAUUGCUCAGUCUUUUGUGUACGGUAUUUCGAUGUGACAGGUACCCACUACUGUACACGAAAACGUGGGUUACCAGUUAGGCAACGAACACCGCCAGAACUAUCACGUACGAGAUAUAAGUUGGAAUCGAGUGUUCGUCUGUCUCUACCCUUGUACGGUCAUAGUUCUCAUGAAUGACCUGUGUUUCCGAUACAAAGUAGGACAGUCAUACAGGGUCUGGUCCUUUGGGCGAACUAAUGUCCGAGUCCACUGGUUUGCACACAGGACACCCUACAAUGAUGACCGGUCUCCUAUAGUUAGAAACCUCCACUUAAAGGUAGUCCCGUAUGUCGACUACACAAUUCAGACAGGUAGUUGAGCAAUUUGUGCUUAUACAAAUAGAGCCCAAGUACACUAUGUUGACAUUCCGAUACCCUAGAGUCCUAACGUUCAGCCCGUCAAGCCUGUAUAGUACCUGUACUCCCGCUGUAAUUGUCACAGUUCAAGAAGGGACUACCAGUCUCCAAGCCAUGACCAAGUCUACUACCAUGUACGUCUAAUAAACUGUACUCUUGUCCCGUAGUUGAAGUUCACAUGUUAGCCCUCGGGCUAUCUUUACUAUUGCUCGAGGGAUAACAAUGUAGACAGCGGAAAAGGUAUAGUCCUUCCGAAGAAAAACGACCUAUGAGAUUACCACUGACAAUACACACCCUGUGCGAAGAACGGCUCUACCACGAAUUAAACCCCUGAGAGGUUUUGAGAGUGCUUCCGGCAUAUUCGACGGAACCCGACAGUAGGCUACCCUCACGUAACACAUGUCCUUCGACCCUGUUUUUAAACUUCUAGACCCGAAAGUCACCUGUGGCCUUCUAUCAGACUCCGGGGCCGCGCGCAAGAGGGGCACAACACGCAAGGAGCAGCAGCGCACAGCCCCCCACCAACCGGUUGAGUUGUCCAAGGACUUCUACUUCGUCAGGCAAAACAUAGUACCUUAGGUACCUAGAGGACAACGCACGCAGGUUGCCUUUUGAGCCAAACGGCUCUGCCUCACCACGACCCACUACUACAACAACGUAACACGGACCAGUUCAGUCGCACGACAAACAACAAAUAUUCUCAACGGUCUUUCGUUCGUCGCGUGUACACUAUAAAAAGACGGGAACAACACAUGUUGAUAUAUAAAAAUCGGCAUCUUUUACUUCGGCUUAACAAUCUUGGUUCUUAGUUAAACAAACAAAGACCUCAUUCUAUUCCUUACGCUUGAAGUGAAGGACACACGACACUACGAACAUUCCAAGUCACUCGGUAAGUGACGAACAAAAUGGAUACUAC
rnacentral:rRNA from 1 species